GAUGAACGCUGGCGGCGUGCCUAAUACAUGCAAGUCGAGCGAACAGAUGAGGAGCUUGCUCCUCUGACGUUAGCGGCGGACGGGUGAGGAACACGUGGAUAACCUACCUAUAAGACUGGGAUAACUUCGGGAAACCGGAACUAGUACCGGAUAAUAUAUUGAACCGCAUGGUUCAAUAGUGAAAGACGGUUUUGCUGUCACUUAUAGAUGUAUCCGCGCCGCAUUAGCUAGUUGGUAAGGUAACGGCUUACCAAGGCAACGAUGCGUAGCCGACCUGAGAGGGUGAUCGGCCCCAAUGGCAAUGAGCCACGGUCCCGACUCCUACGGGAGGCAGCAGCAGGGAAUCUUCCGCAAUGGGCGAAAUCCUGACGGAGCAACGCAGCGCGAGUGAUGAAGGUCUUCGGAUCGUAAAACUCUGUUAUUAGGGAAGAACAAAUGUGUAAGUAACUAUGCACGUCUUGACGGUACCUACUCAGAAAGCAACGGCUAACUACGUG
rnacentral:rRNA from 1 species